AUGUGGUGUUUGCCAUCUUCUCUGGAUUUGGAAAUAAAUAAGCUGCCAUUGAUGGCUCGGCCACGUCAGCCACACCAGGGUGGCCCCUGGCUGAGCUUACGGCCCAUGCUGUUGAAGUGCUCUUGGCGGUCACCUGUUGUCAUUUCACAAGGGAGCAUCGUGUCACCUGUUGUCACCUCACAAGGGGGCCCUGUGUCACUUAUUUCACAAGGGAGCCCCACGUUACCUGGUGUCAUUUCACUAGGGAGGCCUGUGUCACCUGUUGUCGUUUCAGGAGGCAGCCCUGUGUCACCUGUUGUCGUUUCAGGAGGCAGCCCUGUGUCACCUGUUGUCGUUUCGGGAGGCAGCCCUGUGUCACCUGUUGUCGUUUCGGGAGGCAGCCCUGUGUCACCUGUUGUCGUUUCGGGAGGCAGCCCUGUGUCACCUGUUGUCGUUUCGGGAGGCAGCCCUGUGUCACCUGUUGUCGUUUCGGGAGGCAGCCCUGUGUCACCUGUUGUCGUUUCGGGAGGCAGCCCUGUGUCACCUGUUGUCGUUUCGGGAGGCAGCCCUGUGUCACCUGUUGUCGUUUCGGGAGGCAGCCCUGUGUCACCUGUUGUCGUUUCAGGAGGCAGCCGUGUAUCACCUGUUGUCAUUUCAGGAGGAAGCCCUGUUACCUGUUGUCAUUUCAUGCCCUUAGAUGUUUGGCUGUUCUGUGACAUGCAGAAUGCUGGGGCCGCCAGCCUCACGUGUCAGCGUGCACCACUCCAGGCAGGUGCCGGGCUGGCUGAGCUGUCCUCGUUACCUGCUCCGUGGCAGAGCUGCUGGGUGUGCAGAGGAAGGGGACUGGCUGAGUGGGUGAGCCGCCUCGCCUGCCCUGCCACAGUCCCCCACCCGCCAUGUCUGCGUUUCAGGUUUUGGUUAAGGUUUCAUUUUAGAAUCCCUGGCCAAACGUUUGAAAACCCUAAGCUAGACGCUCUAAGCUCUUUGAGUGCUAACCUUUGGCUCAUAAAACAAAUCCCUUCAUGA
rnacentral:lncRNA from 1 species